AGAACGAACGCUGGCGGCAGGCCUAACACAUGCAAGUCGAGCGGACAUUUUCGGAUGUCAGCGGCGGACGGGUGAGUAACGCGUGGGAACGUGCCCUUUGGUUCGGAAUAGCCCUGGGAAACUGGGAGUAAUACCGGAUAUUCUCUUUGGAGGAAAGAUUUAUCGCCAAGGGAUCGGCCCGCGUUGGAUUAGGUAGUUGGUGGGGUAAUGGCCUACCAAGCCGACGAUCCAUAGCUGGUUUGAGAGGAUGAUCAGCCACACUGGGACUGAGACACGGCCCAGACUCCUACGGGAGGCAGCA
rnacentral:rRNA from 1 species